AGUUUGAUCAUGGCUCAGAUUGAACGCUGGCGGCAGGCCUAACACAUGCAAGUCGAGCGGCAGCGGGAAAGUAGCUUGCUACUUUUGCCGGCGAGCGGCGGACGGGUGAGUAAUGCCUGGGAAAUUGCCCAGUCGAGGGGGAUAACAGUUGGAAACGACUGCUAAUACCGCAUACGCCCUACGGGGGAAAGCAGGGGACCUUCGGGCCUUGCGCGAUUGGAUAUGCCCAGGUGGGAUUAGCUAGUUGGUGAGGUAAUGGCUCACCAAGGCGACGAUCCCUAGCUGGUCUGAGAGGAUGAUCAGCCACACUGGAACUGAGACACGGUCCAGACUCCUACGGGAGGCAGCAGUGGGGAAUAUUGCACAAUGGGGGAAACCCUGAUGCAGCCAUGCCGCGUGUGUGAAGAAGGCCUUCGGGUUGUAAAGCACU
rnacentral:rRNA from 1 species